AGAACGAACGCUGGCGGCAUGCCUAAUACAUGCAAGUCGAACGAACUCUUCGGAGUUAGUGGCGCACGGGUGCGUAACGCGUGGGAAUCUGCCCCUUGGUUCGGAAUAACAGUUGGAAACGACUGCUAAUACCGGAUGAUGACGAAAGUCCAAAGAUUUAUCGCCAAGGGAUGAGCCCGCGUAGGAUUAGCUAGUUGGUGAGGUAAAGGCUCACCAAGGCAACGAUCCUUAGCUGGUCUGAGAGGAUGAUCAGCCACACUGGGACUGAGACACGGCCCAGACUCCUACGGGAGGCAGCAGUAGGGAAUAUUGGACAAGUGGGACGAAAGCCUGAUCCAGCAAUGCCGCGUGAGUGAUGAAGCGUUAGGUUGUAAGUCUCUUUACCGAG
rnacentral:rRNA from 1 species